rnacentral:rRNA from 1 species
UCCCAGACUCCUACGGGAGGCAGCAGUGGGGAAUAUUGCACAAUGGGGGAAACCCUGAUGCAGCGACGCCGCGUGAAGGAUGAAGUAUUUCGGUAUGUAAACUUCUAUCAGCAGGGAAGAAAAUGACGGUACCUGACCAAGAAGCCCCGGCUAACUACGUGCCAGCAGCCGCGGUAAUACGUAGGGGGCAAGCGUUAUCCGGAUUUACUGGGUGUAAAGGGAGCGUAGACGGUCCUGCAAGCCAGAUGUGAAAGCCCGGGGCUCAACCCCGGGACUGCAUUUGGAACUGUAAGGCUAGAGUGUCGGAGAGGCAGGCGGAAUUCCUAGUGUAGCGGUGAAAUGCGUAGAUAUUAGGAGGAACACCAGUGGCGAAGGCGGCCUGCUGGACGAUGACUGACGUUGAGGCUCGAAAGCGUGGGGAGCAAACAGGAUUAGAUACCCCCGUACC